GCUGACAUCCUGGAUACUAAAAUUAUAUCAUGGUCAUCUACUUUGAAGAUGAGCUGUGCAGGACAAUAAUUCCACUGCUUGGAUUGCAGCCACCAUACUGCUGGGGAGCAGAGAACGCAGGGAAGGGCCUUAUAGAUGUCAUGGAGAUCUAAGCCUUCCCCGUCUGCUGCCCCAGAACCUGUUUUAGUAUACCAGCCUUGAUUAUUUAAGAGUAACGUUAAAUUAGAUGAUGAAAUUCCUUUGAAAAGUAAAGGACAAGUAGCCUGCGGGGAAAUGCCAUAUGCUUUUAGCUGUAGCAAUUGACUGGAUGUUGACAGCCUGUGGAACUUUAGUCCAGGGAUGCCUAGGUGGAUCAGCGGUUGAGUGUCUGCCUUCGGCCCAGGGCAUGAUCCCGGGAUCCAGGAUCAGUCCCACAUCAGGCUCCUUGCAGGGAGCCUGCUUCUCCCUCAGCUUGUGUCUCUGCCUCUCUCUCUCUCAAUAUCUCUCUGUCUCUCUGUCUCUCUCUCUCUGUCACUAAUA
rnacentral:lncRNA from 1 species